rnacentral:rRNA from 1 species
UGGGGAAUUUUGCGCAAUGGGCGAAAGCCUGACGCAGCGACGCCGCGUGGAGGAUGAAGGUCUUCGGAUUGUAAACUCCUUUUGUAGGGGAAAAUAAUGAUGGUACCCUAUGAAUAAGCCACGGCUAACUCUGUG